rfam:Cricetulus griseus cell line CHO-K1, whole genome shotgun sequence.
UCCCCAACAACAUCCUGGUGCUGAGUGAUGGCACAGGUGACUCCAGCAUCAGUGAUUUUGUUGAAGA